UACGGGGGGGGCAAGCGUUGUUCGGAAUCACUGGGCGUAAAGCGCACGUAGGCGGCUUUUUAAGUCAGGGGUGAAAUCCUGGAGCUCAACUCCAGAACUGCCUUUGAUACUGAGAAGCUUGAGUCCGGGAGAGGUGAGUGGAACUGCGAGUGUAGAGGUGAAAUUCGUAGAUAUUCGGAAGAACACCAGUGGCGAAGGCGGCCCACUGGUCCGGUACUGACGCUGAGGUGCGAAAGCGUGGGGAGCAAACAGG
rnacentral:rRNA from 1 species